GACGAACGCUGGCGGCGCGCUUAACACAUGCAAGUCGAACGGAAAGGCCUGCUUUCCCUUGUGGAUUGCGGGUACUCGAGUGGCGAACGGGUGAGUAACACGUGAGUGAUCUGCCCCCAACUUGGGUAUAAGCCUGGGAAACUGGGUCUAAUUCCCGAUAGGACUGCAGGGUGGUGCCUGUGGUGGAAAACGAUUUUCUAGUGGUUGGGGAUGAGCUCGCGGCCUAUCAGCUUGUUGGUGGGGUAAUGGCCUACCAAGGCGGCGACGGGUAGCCGGCCUGGGAGGGUGGACGGGCACAUUGGGACUGAGAUACGGCCCAGACUCCUACGGGAGGCAGCAGUGGGGAAUAUUGCACAAUGGGCGGAAGCCUGAUGCAGCGACGCCGCGUGGGGGAUGACGGCCUUCGGGUGGUAAACUCCUUUCGACCGCGAGGAAGCCACCUGGUUGGAAGGGUGGUGACGGUAGUGGUAGAAGAAGCACCGGCUAACUACGUG
rnacentral:rRNA from 1 species